AUUUAAUCCUGCCUUGGGGGGAAAUUUGCUUCAGAGCUAGACUUCAGUCUUGCUGGAGGAAUGGUAGCUGAAAAGAGAAGAAGGCAGCUCUAAAAAUUGCUUCUCAGAACCUGCAUAAAUUUGUUGGAUUUUGAGAUAUGACAGAAUGAAAAGUCUGCAGGAGUUGUGGUUUGUCCACAAAAAGCAGGAUGGGCAGGUGCAAGGACUUCUGAGAUAUCUCUGAACUGUUAACUGCAUUGCGCCUAGAAGGCCAGCUUCUGUUCUCCAUCACAGCCCUCAACUGAAAGCAGCUGAAAUUACACAGAGUGAUGUUUGCUCUCUUAAUUCUUGUUGUUGGUGAUCAAUGAAGAAGGCACAAUUUAAUUUCCAGAUCCUACCAGACAUGGACAGGGUUGGCUAUUAGAAAACAUGCUUAUUUUACAAGAACCCACUGAAAAAUGGAAACUCUUGCAUGUGGAGAAAAACAAA